GACGUAGGGGGCAAGCGUUGUCCGGAAUCAUUGGGCGUAAAGCGCUCGUAGGCGGAUCAGUAAGUCUGUGAAGAAAGACCCGGGCUCAACUCGGGGAACGGCAUGGAUACUAUUGGUCUUGAGGUAAUCAGAGGAUGAUGGAAUUCCCGGUGUAGUGGUGGAAUGCGUAGAUAUCGGGAGGAACACCAGUGGCGAAGGCGGUUGCCUGGGGCUUUGCUGACGCUGAUGCGCGAAAGCGUGGGGAGCGAUCCGG
rnacentral:rRNA from 1 species